CUUCCACAAUGGACGCAAGUCUGAUGGAGCAACGCCGCGUGAGUGAAGAAGGGUUUCGGCUCGUAAAGCUCUGUUGUUAAAGAAGAACGUGGGUGAGAGUAACUGUUCACCCAGUGACGGUAUUUAACCAGAAAGCCACGGCUAACUACGUGCCAGCAGCCGCGGUAAUACGUAGGUGGCAAGCGUUAUCCGGAUUUAUUGGGCGUAAAGCGAGCGCAGGCGGUCUUUUAAGUCUAAUGUGAAAGCCUUCGGCUCAACCGAAGAAGUGCAUUGGAAACUGGGAGACUUGAGUGCAGAAGAGGACAGUGGAACUCCAUGUGUA
rnacentral:rRNA from 1 species